GACCUGAGCUCAGGCAAGAUUACCCGCUGAACUUAAGCAUAUCAAUAAGCGGAGGAAAAGAAACUAACAAGGAUUCCCCUAGUAACGGCGAGCGAACCGGGAAUAGCCCAACUUGAAAAUCUCCCUCUGGAGAAUUGUAGUCUAGAGAAGCGCCCUCUGCGGCGGAUGGAGCCCAACUUUGCAGGAAAGCAACGUCCGAUAGGGUGAGAACCCCGUCGGCUCCUAUCUUGCUGCCCCACGAGGUGCUUUCCACCAGUCGGGUUGUUUGGGAAUGCAGCCUAAAAUUUGGAGGUAAAUCUCUUCCAUUUUUUUUACUGUCACAAAUCUUUGCGAAUAACUCUCCUUUCGGCCUUCUUUUCUGACCAAAAUUUUCCUUUUUAAACAUUUAUCUUGCUAAA
rnacentral:rRNA from 2 species